UACGGAGGGUGCAAGCGUUGCUCGGAAUCACUGGGCGUAAAGCGUACGCAGGCGGCUCGUUAAGUCGGGUGUGAAAGCCCGGGGCUCAACCCCGGAACUGCAUUCGAAACUGGCGAGCUUGAAUACGGGAGAGGGAAGCGGAAUUCCUGGUGUAGAGGUGAAAUUCGUAGAUAUCAGGAGGAACACCUGUGGCGAAAGCGGCUUCCUGGCCCGAUAUUGACGCUCAGGUACGAAAGCGUGGGGAGCAAACAGG
rnacentral:rRNA from 1 species